AGAUUAGCUAGUUGGUGGGGUAAGAGCCUACCAAGGCGAUGAUCUGUAGCUGGUUUGAGAGGAUGAUCAGUCACACUGGAACUGAGACACGGUCCAGACUCCUACGGGAGGCAGCAGUGGGGAAUUUUGCACAAUGGGGGAAACCCUGAUGCAGCGAUGCCGCGUGUGGGAAGAAGGCCUUUGGGUUGUAAACCACUUUCAAUUGGGAAGAAGGGAUGAGGAUUAAUAAUCCUCUGACUUGACGGUACCUUUAGAAGAAGCACCGGCUAAUUUCGUGCCAGCAGCCGCGGUAAUACGAAAGGUGCAAGCGUUGUUCGGAUUUACUGGGCGUAAAGAGAUCGUAGGUGGUUUGUUAAGUUGGAUGUGAAAUCCCGGGGCUCAACCUCGGAACUGCAUCCAAAACUGGCAGACUUGAGUUCGGGAGGGGUAAGCGGAAUUCCGUGUGUAGCAGUGAAAUGCGUAGAUAUACGGAGGAACACCUGAGGCGAAGGCGGCUUACUGGACCGAUACUGACACUGAGGAUCGAAAGCGUGGGUAGCAAACAGGAUUAGAUACCCUGGUAGUCCACGCCCUAAACGAUGUCAACUAGCCGUUGCGGGUAUCGACCCCUGCAGUGGCGCAGCUAACGCGAUAAGUUGACCGCCUGGGGAGUACGGUC
rnacentral:rRNA from 1 species